GUUGCAACCAGCCACCGUGUGCCCGGCACUGGGCUCGGGGGUGUGCACAUUAUCCUUUAAUCUCCGCGACAUGCCAUAGGAGGUACGUAUCUUUAUCCCAAUUUUUUAGGUAACAAAGACUGAGGCUUAGAGAGGUGGAAUAAAUUGCCAGAGGUCACCCAGGGGAUAAGAAACAAAUCCAGAGUUUAAGCACAAGUCUUACUCCAAGGCUAUUGCUCCUAAAUACGAUACAGUUCUCUCUGUCUCUCUUUGGAAAUGAACCAUCUGAUCCCAUCAAAAGCAAGAAAAAAGAAAAAGAACGACUGAACCGGAGUCCACCGCGCACACACCUGUUCUCCCAAGCAUGGAGAGGCAAGGUUAACCUUCCUGUUUGUCCCUGACUACUGGCUCAGGCUCGCUGAGAAAUCACCUGUUGGAAGCACCUGGAACAAGUCAACCUGCUGUGUGUGGAGAACAGCCACUCUCCCUUCCAAGCCCUGUGUGGUUGCUGCUUGCAGGUUCCUGGAGAACAGAGCCAACACUGGAAGGUUCUUCUUUUUGAGGACUCUCGACCACAUCUAUGCCUUCAAUUAUUACCAAACACGAGUUUAUCAUACUUCUAAAUAAAGCUCAACCUGGAUCUCCA
rnacentral:lncRNA from 1 species